AGGGUAAACGAAGAACCCACCGAGUAGCAAACGACAGCUAGCCACAUAGCUGUGUCUGUGAGACAGGGUUGUGUGCUGCUGUGAUUGUCCGCUGUGUGUCCUAGUUCCUCAGCUGA
ensembl:miRNA Mir6417 microRNA 6417